rnacentral:misc_RNA from 2 species
AACGCACAUUGCGCCCCCUGGUAUUCCGGGGGGCAUGCCUGUCCGAGCGUCAUUGCUGCCCUCAAGCACGGCUUGUUUGUUGGGUCUUGUUCCCCCGGGAACAGGCCCGAAAGGCAGUGGCGGCACCGUCCGAUCCUCGAGCGUAUGGGGCUUUGUCACCCGCUCUGUAGGCCCGGCCGGCGCUUGCCGACCCAAUCAAUCUUUUUCAGGUUGACCUCGGAUCAGGUAGGGAUACCCGCUGAACUUAA